rnacentral:rRNA from 1 species
AGUGAACGCUGGCGGUAGGCCUAACACAUGCAAGUCGAACGGCAGCACCGUAAGAGCUUGCUCUUACGGGUGGCGAGUGGCGGACGGGUGAGGAAUACAUCGGAAUCUACUUUUUCGUGGGGGAUAACGUAGGGAAACUUACGCUAAUACCGCAUACGACCUACGGGUGAAAGCAGGGGAUCUUCGGACCCUGCGCGAUUGAAUGAGCCGAUGUCGGAUUAGCUAGUUGGCGGGGUAAAGGCCCACCAAGGCGACGAUCCGUAGCUGGUCUGAGAGGAUGAUCAGCCACACUGGAACUGAGACACGGUCCAGACUCCUACGGGAGGCAGCAGUGGGGAAUAUUGGACAAUGGGCGCAAGCCUGAUCCAGCCAUACCGCGUGGGUGAAGAAGGCCUUCGGGUUGUAAAGCCCUUUUGUUGGGAAAGAAAAGCAGCAGGUUAAUACCCCGCUGUUCUGACGGUACCCAAAGAAUAAGCACCGGCUAACUUCGUG